UGAAGAGGCUGAUAGUGACUACCAAAGUCAGCUUGGGUUCAACACACUACUUGGCGUUUGAAAGGUACUAGUUCCUAAUGGACCAAGUUAGUACAUUUGAAGUUUUUAAGGUUAAAUUUGACGCAACUGAGAGUACAAGGCCCAAAGUGACACAGGUACUAACGUAUAGGGACUACUUGUAUUAUUUACUCCUUAUCUUUGGUCGUACUUUCUCCUUUCCUCCCCUCCCUGUGCAAUCUCUAUAUAAAGUCUUGCGUUUCUCAUGUCGGUCAGAUCAUAAGUACUACCACUCCGGUCAUUGGUUUUCCACAUUUUAAUCUGGAAAUUUUGCUGGGUUUUGUUGUUUGGGUGUUUGUGUCGGAUUAGAUUUUGAGAGAGAGAGAGACGUAAUUAAUUAAGAUGGUAGUAGAGUUCUUUCUGCUGAGUUGCACGGGAAUUGUGGUGUUCCUUCACGGAGCCAAUUUCUUCUUCCACGCUAUCUCCUCUCACUUCGCCUUUCGAUCUCUCAGUUUCUUGGGAUUCAUUGGAUGAUAGAAAGGGCAGGGAUGAUCUCCUCGCGAUGGACCGGGUAGAGAGCUAGCUAGCUUGGACCUGCCGAAGCGCAUCUGCAAAUAGUUGUCCUAAUUUUUAAGGCAAUUUAUAGCAUUGCUAGAAAAUAUAACACAGAAUAAAAUGGAAGGAAACCAUCAAUGACAUCAUGUUGGAACCAAGCUGUACUUGUUCCAUCUCUUAAGCUCAAGAGUAAUGUACUUAUUUCACACCCUUGGCUCGAAACAUUGUAUGGCAUCUAAUUUUUGCUUUAUAAGUUCCAGGGUUUUAAACAAAA